rnacentral:lncRNA from 1 species
GCUUUGCAAGCUCAUCCAUGACUUCAUAUGUCUCUUUAUCGGCAAAAAGCUUUAGGUUAUACCUUGCUGGUGGCGUUUGCACUACACCUUCCCACUUGUCCACCAGCUCUUUAAGUUUUUCAAAUCCCUGCAAGAAAUCGACAUCCUCAUCAGUUUCUGUGCCAUGAGUUCACUGUAUCAUAAAUGACUCACAAAGGAAUAUGGGUAAAAAUUGACAAAGGAAAUAGAAUACUUUCCUACUAGUGUGCCUGAAGAGAAUGAUGAUGGAAACAUGAUAGUUGUUCUGAGUACUUACAAUGCGGGCUGUGAAGUCACCAAAUGAUUCUUUUGGUUGUCUUUUUUGUUUCCAGUAGUAGAACAAAGGUUCAAAAACA